rnacentral:rRNA from 1 species
UACGGGGGGGCAAGCGUUGUUCGGAAUUACUGGGCGUAAAGGCUCGUAGGCGGCCAACUAAGUCGGACGUGAAAUCCCCAGGCUCAACCUGGGAACUGCGUCCGAUACUGGAUGGCUUGAAUCCGGGAGAGGGAUGCAGAAUUCCAGGUGUAGCGGUGAAAUGCGUAGAUAUCUGGAGGAAUACCGGUGGCGAAGGCGGCAUCCUGGACAGCUACUGACACUGAGGCUCGAAGGCCAGGGGAGCAAACGGG